UUGAGGCGAAUUCGGUGAUCCUAUGCUGCCAAGAAAAGCCUCUAGCGAGUGCACACAUGGCCCGUACCCCAAACCAACACAGGUGGUCAGGUAGAGAAUACUAAGGCGUACGAGUUAACUAUGGUUAAGGAACUCGGCAAAAUGCCCCCGUAACUUCGGGAGAAGGGGGACCUCCAUACCGUCAAGGCACUAGCGGCCGGCAGCGGGAGGGGGUGGCACAAACCAGUGAGAAGCGACUGUUUACUAAAAACACAGGUCCGUGCGAAGUCGCAAGACGAUGUAUACGGACUGACGCCUGCCCGGUGCUGGAAGGUUAAGAGGACCUGUUAACUCCUUCGGGGGUGAAGCGGAGAAUUUAAGCCCCAGUAAACGGCGGUGGUAACUAUAACCAUCCUAAGGUAGCGAAAUUCCUUGUCGGGUAAGUUCCGACCUGCACGAAUGGCGUAACGACUUCUCAACUGUCUCAACCAUAGACUCGGCGAAAUUGCACUACGAGUAAAGAUGCUCGUUACGCGCGGCAGGACGAAAAGACCCCGGGACCUUCACUACAACUUGGUAUUGGAGUUCGGUACGGUUUGUGUAGGAUAGGUGGGAGACUGUGGAGCGCACACGCCAGUGUGUGUGGAGUCGUUGUUGAAAUACCACUCUGAUCGUAUUGGGCUUCUAACCUCGGACCGUCUAUCCGGUCCAGGGACAGUGCCUGGUGGGUAGUUUAACUGGGGCGGUUGCCUCCUAAAAUGUAACGGAGGCGCCCAAAGGUUCCCUCAACCUGGACGGCAAUCAGGUGUUGAGUGUAAGUGCACAAGGGAGCUUGACUGCGAGACCUACAAGUCGAGCAGGGACGAAAGUCGGGACUAGUGAUCCGGCACCCCCGAGUGGAAGGGGUGUCGCUCAACGGAUAAAAGGUACCCCGGGGAUAACAGGCUGAUCUUCCCCAAGAGUCCAUAUCGACGGGAUGGUUUGGCACCUCGAUGUCGGCUCGUCGCAUCCUGGGGCUGGAGCAGGUCCCAAGGGUUGGGCUGUUCGCCCAUUAAAGCGGCACGCGAGCUGGGUUUAGAACGUCGUGAGACAGUUCGGUCUCUAUCCGCCGCGCGCGUCAGAAACUUGAGGAAACCUGUCCCUAGUACGAGAGGACCGGGACGGACGAACCUCUGGUCUACCAGUUGUCCCACCAGGGGCACCGCUGGAUAGCUACGUUCGGACAGGAUAACCGCUGAAAGCAUCUAAGCGGGAAACCUCUUCCAAGACCAGGUUUCUCACCCUUUUAGAGGGAUAAGGCCCCCCGCAGACCACGGGAUCGAUAGACCAGACCUGCACACUUAGCAAUAAGUUUAGGGAACUGGCACUAACCGGCCGAAAACUUACC
rnacentral:rRNA from 1 species